CACGCGCACACACACACACACACACACACACACACACACACACACACACACACACACACACACACAGACAGUGAGGGGAAAAGAGAGAGAGAGAGAGAGUCUAAGCUGUGAGGUGAAUCGUGCUGCGCGCCUCCCCAAAUGCGUAAAGUCCCCCUGAUUUGGCGGGCUCUUUCUGUCAGCAGCCUCACAUUUGUAAAUCUCCCCCCUCCUCUCCAGCCACCACCGCCACCUUUCCACUCCUAAACCCUUCACCCCUCCCAACACCACCCAACCAACCCACCUUCCUUUUGAGCCGGCUCCCUGAAUCCUGAAUGGCAACACCAAAUAUUUUACUCUCCGACAGAACAGAGAGACGACGCACAUCGGACUGACCUGCUUUCUCCAUCCUGACGCAGGCGGAGAGACUGUAGGCUGCCCUGCUUUGCUCUGUCUCUAUCUGUCUCAGCCUGCACAAAUCCUUUCUUUAAAAAGAGUUUUUAAAAAAGAGAAAAAAAAAUCAAAAUCAAAAAGUUUAGAACAAGGACGUGCCUGCGCUACGGAGAGAACGAUGACAACCAAAACAACGAGGGGUAAAAAAAAAAAAAGAAAAGAAAGAGGUGACUUGUGGCCGGAGUGGACGCUGCUGACGCCGCCGGAGCCUCCACCUGUGCGCCGGAGAGAAAAAGGUGACCCACGUUUUGGAUGUUUUGCACCGAGGAGCGACUGAGAGACACCGACCUUCCUGCCUCCCUCCCUCUCCCCCCGUCCUCCCAUGCUCUUCUUCAUCCCGAGAACAGGUGAUUUCAGUCCCGCUGCCCUGAACUGACAGCAACGCUCCGUGGUCUGUGGACCAGAGUCUGUUUCUGCCACGUCAAGAGCAAAACGAUGUUCACAGAAGAAAGAAAAUGGAAACCACUGCAGCCAGCGAAGCAGAAGAAGGUAGAAAGGAACAAUGAGGGCCCAGAAGGGAGGGAGGAGGCAGCUGGAUGGGCAGCGAGUGAACUCAAAGCGGCCGACACCUUUGUUUCCAUUAGCACCACCCAAAAACCAUGAAAGUCAAGCCGGUUGGAGUGGGACACAUCCAUCCUCCACCCGCCUGCACUCAGAAGAGAGUCGUCUAACUCCAGGCUGGGAAGGAUAAAUAUGUAAACACUUGUGACAGCAGCAGACACCAUGGAAGGCAGCUCUCCACAUGCAGCACAAUCUCCUCAGCUGGAAUUAAAACACACAUAACAGAUCGCUGCUGCUGUGAGUCUGAUGUCGCCGUCGGGUGAAGCAGAACUGCAGCUGUUGGGCUGCGAGGAAACGACCGAGACGUGAAGGUGGACUCUCAAAACGUCCGAUGGGAGUGUGUGUGUGUGUGUGUGUGUGUGUGUGUGUGUGUGUGUGUGUGUGUGUGUGUGUGUGUGUGUGUGUGUGUGUGUGUGUGUGUGUGUGUGUGUGUGUGUGUGUGUGUGUGUGUAUGUGUGUAUGUGUCUAAUUUGAUGAUAUUAUAUCAUAUCUGUUAAAAAAAAUUAGAAAAUGUAAGCUACUUCUGUCUCUCCUAACACUGAUGUAAUGCUGCUGGCUGUUCUACAUGUUCUAUACUUGUUUUCAUGUGAACGUUGUUUGUAAAUUUCUGUUUUCAAAAUCUGAGUCCAUGUCAGAGUCUGUCAAUAUUUAUUGAGCUGGCUGAUGUUGGCUGUGCAGUGAUGCCAGGCUACAAACAAGUGCUAUAAAAUAGAUUAUAUAUUAUAUUAGUAAACUGCAUUUUACUCUACACUUUGUAACGUGACUCGGAGACAGCUGGUCGCUAAUACAUUUAAUUUCAUCCCUUUUAAAAGUGUUACACAACUUGCUGCUCCUUCUUCUCGGUGUCACGUUGACUUCGACCCUCCACUUCUGUCAAAGAAUGCGAGCAGCUGCAUGAUGCAUGUCAACAUGUGGACACAUUUUUAUACUCUUGUCCCUCUGCUGAGUACAUGACAGGCUUUGCUUCGUGCCACAGAGCCUCGGUUUGUCAGAAUUUCAUGUUUAGUUUGUGUGUGAGAGACAGACGGGGAGCAUGGCGGCAGAUGGGGUGUGCUGGAGACUAAAAAUGCUGUUGCAAAUAGCCUCUGUGGGUCGGAGAGGGGGAACAGAGAGCACAUACUGCUGAGGAGAGAAUCGUGACAGUCGGUUGUGGUGAAACAUCCGACGAAUGUGAGCAGGAUUUCGUCGUUCGUGUGCAUUUUAAUGUGAAGUUUAAUGAAAUAAAGCGAUGUAAAUUCA
ensembl:lncRNA